GAUCUCGUGUACAAAAAGAAUAAAAAUUUGACUGGUUUAAGGACAGAAGCUCCCGGUCUGAACCCUGUCAUUCGUCUUAUGUAGGCGUGUGUGUGCCAGGGGGAAUGGAGGGAAGUGGGGAGAUAAGCUCUUUUGAGCUACAGUUUAUGCAUAUUCCUAUAUUGCAGAUCCAUUAUUAGAAGCUCCUAUUUUCGCUGUCUACUCUCUAUCUAUAUGCCCCCCCUAUACCAGUUUUCAGGGAUGACACCUAAGGCUGAGUCAGUUUGCAAAGGGGGUCCUAUUUUAAAGAGAGGAAGUAGUUUGCUACCAUUCCCUUCCACAACCGAAUUCGUUUAUUUACCCUUGUUAUCAAGCCUUCACCAGUGGCUCAUAAUCUUCCACUUAGAAUCUUGUAUACGGCGGUGAAGAAUCUCGGCUUAAGCGCUCAUAGGGCAUUUGCUUUGAUCCUAGCCGACGUUGGAAUGGAUCCUUAAUGACUGGCGUAAGGGGAAACCUUCCCACGGUAUCUCUUGAUACCCUUACCCAACGUGCUUCUUUUUAUGUUAUUGCUCUUGCCGCGCUUAUUCUUCUGGUUAACGCACCCCACUAAUAAUAGAUUCGAGUCCCAACACAUAUCCAGGAUGAGGGUCUCGAUGAGUCUUAUUUAGUUCCAUGAGCGGUGUACGAUAGGCUCCCGGAUGUUGUUGCGCAUGCAAGUGAAGGUCAGGGACCACCUUAUAAAUGCUAUGGAGCGGAGUGCAAUUGAUGUUCCUUGAACGCGUGAACUUUACCUUUAUGGGUAUGGUUAUUGACUGGGUGAUCCUGAUGAUUCUUCUUGACCAGGUGGUAGUUAAAGGAAGAUCGCUUCUGAACCGGUGGUCUCUGAUAAUAAGGGAAUUGCUCCUGCGCUUGACGUGGCUACUAAAUCUUCAGCUGUGUCCGCUACUAAGGGCUCUGGGUUUCCAACUGAAAUGGGAUCUGUAUAUGGAACGUCUAUAGAGACUGGAAGGGAUGCCGUGUGCUAUGGAACAGGAUCUGCGUCUGUCCAGGUCUAGAUCAAAAAUCACCUAUAGGGGGCCCAUUCCUACUUGUUGAUCCCCUUUUUCCCUUAUCCUACUCGCUGGUCUCACUAUAUUAUCAGUUCUAAUUGCAACAUUCCUCCCCCCUCAAAUGGCACUGGAUUUGAUAGUAAGACUGAACGGAUUACUACCGUCUAUUCGCUCGUUCUAGACAAAAGAACUGGUAGCACCUAAAUUGACCCGAUAUAGACCGUGUUCCGCGUCAGACCUCAACUCCUGGGUUGAAAUCCCCAUUAUGAGAUCCAGGUAUUGCACCCCGGUUUGAUUGACUCUGCUAGGCUUGCUACGGCUUGACCGACCCUUUAGGGUAAAAGAAUUAAGAGUAGCUAAAUGACAGAAGUGAAGCAAUGCGCAGCAAAGGGGAUCCCCAUACAUGACAAGGGAGGUCCGAGAGGGCUAGCAUAGUUUGAAAUAGUCUACCCUGUGAGUCAAAGACCCCUUUUCAUUGCCUUCCUUCUUCUUCGAUAGCAUCUAGAGCAGCGAAAAAGGCGAAAAUAGUAAGAGCUCCUUCUUGAACAAUCGAUUCUGUAACAACCUCACAUGUGGCAAAUCCUUUAUAAAGAAACCUCAAACUCCCUCGGAUUUAGGUUGAUCAAAUCCACUGCUGUUCUCACUGCUUCACCCCAAAAGGAUUUAGGUAGUUUAACAUAAGAGAGUAUACACCAAAUUAUUUCACCAAUAGUGCGGUUCAUUCUCUCAGCAACUCCAUUAUGUUGAGGUGUUUUAGGAACAGUUUUCUCAAGCCUGAUGCCAUAAUCUCUUCGAUGCUUUAAGGGCUAUAAGUAGGCCAUUUGCUACUGCUAUAAAGACUGCUCACCUUUAUACGGCUUGAAAAGUUCAAGCAAACCAACCAUAGAGAGAUCUAGCUGAGCGAAAGGUGCUAAACUAAAGAAUAAGGAAGCGUCAAAAGGCGAUCCGGAUAUAGCAUUGAGUUAGGGAUUCAAAAUGCGGGGAAGAUGAAUCUAAGUUAGAAAAGAGUGAAUGUGGAUCGAGUUGGAUCACCAUUCGUAUAGUGAGGUUCUGUGGAUGCCGGUGGAUGCUUUUCCCGUAUCCCGUUAGCAUUCCAGCUGUCCAAGUUAGAAGGUUAAUCGAAAACUUGACCAGAUCUUCAGUUUCUAGUCCGAAGCCAGCAAUGGAAAGAAAGCCUAUACUACAGGAAUUUUAGGAAUUCUCUUAUCCCAUUUGGAAGGAUCUCAUUUAAUAGAUCCAACCCAUUUCUAGGGUAGAUAGAGGAGUUCGUCCCCCACUUCAUUUGCUCCAUUGGCACCAGUGAUCAAGAAUUCGAGAUAGAAAGAAAGAUUGGUUGGUGGGCUUAACAGCCCCCCUAUAACUUAAAGGCAGAUAGCGAAAAGGCUCUCUUCUAAAUCAGAAUGUGCAAAAAAAAAGCUCUUUCAAAAGAACAAGCCUUGUUGCUGAGGCGCUUUACAGCCCUAAAAGGCCGG
rnacentral:lncRNA from 1 species